UCGUGUUUAGACAUCUGUACAUUCGUACGGAUGUGACCUAGUGCUGAAUAGCUGUCUGUUAUGCCAAAUCCACUAGAUGGCGCUGCCUCUUAGAUCGCGGUGUGUCUCAGUUCCUGAUCGUUAAUUUCAGCGUUCUGCGCAGUGACUUACAGGUUAAAAAAAACGACAUUUCUGCAGAGUUGUAACGUUCUCAGUGAGCGUAGAGCCGAGAGGUGACCUAUUUCUGCACAAGCUGCGUGGUGGCGAGAGCCGCUUCCCAGCGCGGUGACGUCACCGCCCUUCCCUGUGGAUGGCAGGGCCCGCAGCCGCCGGGCUGACGGGAGAUUUCCCUUUGGCUCAAGAGGCUGGGUCCCUGUCGAGUCCCCGACAGUGGGGGGGGGGCGAGGGCGCCCAUGUGAACUCCGAAGAGUUACAAUAUCAUUAUAUGUCAUUUCUUCUGUUUUUUAAAAAAAAAUAUUUUCCAAACUAACAAAACAGAUCAGACACCAUACUUGCCAGGAAAUAAAGCAC